rnacentral:rRNA from 1 species
CUACACGACCGUACCGCAAACCGACACUGGUGCGCGAGAUGAGUAUUCUAAGGCGCUUGAGAGAACUCAGGAGAAGGAACUCGGCAAAUUGACACCGUAACUUCGGAAGAAGGUGUGCCUUUAGUAGGUGAACCUGUACAAGGGGAGCCCAAUGAGGUUGCAAAAAAUCGGUGGCUGCGACUGUUUAAUAAAAACACAGCACUCUGCAAACACGAAAGUGGACGUAUAGGGUGUGACGCCUGCCCGGUGCUGGAAGAUUAAAUGAUGGGGUGCAAGCUCUUGAUUGAAGUCCCAGUAAACGGCGGCCGUAACAAUAACGGUCCUAAGGUAGCGAAAUUCCUUGUCGGGUAAGUUCCGACCUGCACGAAUGGCGUAACGAUGGCCACACUGUCUCCUCCUGAGACUCAGCGAAGUUGAAAUGUUUGUGAUGAUGCAAUCUCCCCGCGGAAAGACGGAAAGACCCCAUGAACCUUUACUGUAGCUUUGUAUUGGACUUUGAACAGAUCUGUGUAGGAUAGGUGGGAGGCUUUGAAGUGUGGUCGCUAGAUCGCAUGGAGCCAACGUUGAAAUACCACCCUGGUGUGUUUGAGGUUCUAACCUAGGCCCGUAAUCCGGGUCGGGGACAGUGCAUGGUAGGCAGUUUGACUGGGGCGGUCUCCUCCCAAAGCGUAACGGAGGAGUUCGAAGGUACGCUAGGUACGGUCGGACAUCGUGCUAAUAGUGCAAUGGCAUAAGCGUGCUUAACUGCGAGACUGACAAGUCGAGCAGAUGCGAAAGCAGGACAUAGUGAUCCGGUGGUUCUGUAUGGAAGGGCCAUCGCUCAACGGAUAAAAGGUACUCUGGGGAUAACAGGCUGAUACCGCCCAAGAGUUCAUAUCGACGGCGGUGUUUGGUACCUCGAUGUCGGCUCAUCUCAUCCUGGGGCUGUAGCCGGUCCCAAGGGUAUGGCUGUUCGCCAUUUAAAGAGGUACGUGAGCUGGGUUUAAAACGUCGUGAGACAGUUUGGUCCCUAUCUUCCGUGGGCGCUGCAGAUUUGAGGAAGCCUGCUCCUAGUACGAGAGGACCGGAGUGGACACACCUCUGGUGUAUCGGUUGUCACGCCAGUGGCAUUGCCGAGUAGCUAUGUGUGGUAGAGAUAACCGCUGAAAGCAUCUAAGCGGGAAACUCGUUUCAAGAUGAGAUCUGCCGGGGCCUUGAGCCCCCUAAAGAGUCGUUCAAGACCAGGACGUUGAUAGGUCGGGUGUGGAAGCGCAGUAAUGCGUUAAGCUAACCGAUACUAAUUGCUCGUGCGGCUUGAUC